rnacentral:rRNA from 1 species
AUUGAACGCUAGCGGGAUGCUUAACACAUGCAAGUCGAACGGAGUGGCGGACGGGUGCGUAAUAUAUCGGAACGUGCCCAGUAGCGGGGGCUAACUCCUCGAAAAAGUGGCUAAUACCGCAUACCAUUGUAGCGGCCCAUAUGGGCUUAGCUAGUUGGUGGGGUAAAGGCUCACCAAGGCCACGAUCCGUAGCUGGUUUGAGCGGAAGACCAGCCACAUUGGAACUGAGACACGGCCCAGACUCCUACGGGAGGCAGCAGUGGGGAAUUUUGUACAAUGGGCGAAACCCUGAUCCAGCCAUCCCGCGUGUAUGAUGAAGGCCUUCGGGUUGUAAAGUACUUUUGGCAGGGAAGCGUUAUCUGCAGAAUAAGCACCGGCUAACUACGUGCCAGCAGCCGCGGUAAUUC